UACUCAUUAGGGUUUAUCGAUCAUCGAGAUAAUCCCUGUGAGUCCCACCAUCCACCAGUGACACCUAGCAGCAUGUAGUGGCUAUCCAGUAGAUUAGAAUGAUGAACCUCUAGGUGUAGUUAUCAUGUGAUACAGUCCUACUAUCGUGGAUCCCUACAGGAUGGAGGUCAUGGAUAACUCGUCAAACCCCUUCGUCUGUCAUAUGUCAAGAUUUAUUCGACUCGAGUUCGUUAGUGGAAAACUCUUUCUCCACUUUAUAUUACUGCCCUGGCCAAGGUCUUAGAACUCAGUCUAACAAAUCACAUAGGAUCACUCCUCUUCUAUCAAGGUCGAUAGAUUCCAUGUGAGUGCAUACCCUACUCCUACAGUGAACUUACU
rnacentral:lncRNA from 1 species